UCAUCUAAAACAAUCAAAAUCUUCACAUGCACAUGUCAUCACAAGGACUUUUUUCAAGGCUUGUGUUGUGGCUGGGCUAUCAAGAAAAAUUGGUUUUUCUGGAAUACAAAAUCCUUGAGUUGAGAGAGUUUAAAUUAUCAUUUAAAUUUCAAGCACACUCUCUUUUUAACCAAUCUCACUUAUUCCCAACUUUUUCCCUUUUUCCUUUUUACAUUGAGUUCACUUUACAUGAUUUUUCUCUUUUCUUCUUUUCUAUUCUGUCUCAUGCAUCUUUCUUUUUCAUCUUUUGAACUCAAUGCUUUUGCUUUUGCCUUUUACUUUCCCCAUACAACCCCAAACUUGAACCUUUUAAACACAUACAUUUAUUCUCAACCCUGAC
rnacentral:lncRNA from 1 species